CGUCUGGGACGGAGGAGUCACUCCUGCAGGAACACUCUCAGUAGGGUACUCAAUCACAACGGUGUGAUCAAGUAAUGUCGCGCAACAUGUCAUUCAUCGCUGUUGCAGUCAUGGGAAGGGCUGCCAAAAGUGGACAAGGUAAAUGUCAGAUCGGGUGACAUCGCGAAAAUUUAGGUUUACUCGGUAUCAUCCGGCCUUAGCCACACUCAGCUACCGCCAAGAACAUUCUUUCUGCUCCCAACGCCCGAAGAAAUCAGAAGUGCGCGCGGUUUUACUGAAAUUAAUAUCAGAUUAGCAGAUUAAAAAUGAGGCGAAUAUACAUAGUGAUAAUUAAAUCGGGUCAAGUGAAUUAAAAGGUGUUAGUACGUGUUCCCAAUACGAAAAGCAUGACAUGGAAAGCACGGAACAUACAAUUUAAAAAAGAGUCAAAAAGGUCCCCAGUGGACCUUUUUGUUUCCGGCUUCGGACUUCGUCCGAAGAAUAUUUUCACAGGAGAGAUUCCUCGACCGCCUACUACGCAGCGGACAGAUCAUGAUCGGGAGUGCCGUGAGUCCCUGCAACCAGAACCGAAGGUUGGACGUGCUAGACAAUCCGUCACCAUAUUGUCGUCAGCAUCUUCAACAAGGAUCGGUAACCAGUUCGUUUCCGGUCAAUACCACAACCACGAUAAUCGACACCCCGGAAGGAUCGAAGCGUCCACUAUAAGCGGUCACAGAUCCGCCAUUGCUGUUCUCGUCGGCUAUACGCUAUGCCGCCAUCGCACACCCUACACCAACAAAUAAAAUCCGCAAGUAG